rnacentral:rRNA from 1 species
CAAUAGCGUAUAUUUAAGGUGUUGCAGUUAAAAAGCUCGUAGUUGGAUUUCGGGUGGGACGCAGCGGUCUCGCAUUGCGUUUGUACUGCUGCAGCCCUCCUUCUUGCCGGGGGCGGCCUCUCGGACUUCACUGUCUGGGGGUCAGAAUCGGCGAUGUUACUUUGAGUAAAUUAGAGUGUUCAAAGCAAGCUUACGCUCUGAAUAUAAUAGCAUGGGAUAACACGACAGGACUCUGGCCUAUCGUGUUGGUCUAUAGGACCAGAGUAAUGAUUAAGAGGGACAGUCGGGGGCAUUCGUAUUCCGUUGUCAGAGGUGAAAUUCUUGGAUUUACGGAAGACGAACAUCUGCGAAAGCAUUUGCCAAGGAUGUUUUCAUUGA